GGGCGUAAAGAGCUCGUAGGUGGUUUGUCGCGUUGUUCGUGAAAUCUCACGGCUUAACUGUGAGCGUGCGGGCGAUACGGGCAGACUUGAGUACUGCAGGGGAGACUGGAAUUCCUGGUGUAGCGGUGGAAUGCGCAGAUAUCAGGAGGAACACCGGUGGCGAAGGCGGGUCUCUGGGCAGUAACUGACGCUGAGGAGCGAAAGCGUGGGGAGCGAACAGGAUUAGAUACCCUGGUAGUCCACGCCGUAAACGGUGGGUACUAGGUGUGGGUUUCCUUCCUUGGGAUCCGUGCCGUAGCUAACGCAUUAAGUACCCCGCCUGGGGAGUACGGCCGCAAGGCUAAAACUCAAAGAAAUUGACGGGGGCCCGCACAAGCGGCGGAGCAUGUGGAUUAAUUCGAUGCAACGCGAAGAACCUUACCUGGGUUUGACAUGCACAGGACGCCGGCAGAGAUGUCGGUUCCCUUGUGGCCUGUGUGCAGGUGGUGCAUGGCUGUCGUCAGCUCGUGUCGUGAGAUGUUGGGUUAAGUCCCGCAACGAGCGCAACCCUUGUCUCAUGUUGCCAGCGGGUAAUGCCGGGGACUCGUGAGAGACUGCCGGGGUCAACUCGGAGGAAGGUGGGGAUGACGUCAAGUCAUCAUGCCCCUUAUGUCCAGGGCUUCACACAUGCUACAAUGGCCGGUACAAAGGGCUGCGAUGCCGCGAGGUUAAGCGAAUCCUUUUAAAGCCGGUCUCAGUUCGGAUCGGGGUCUGCAACUCGACCCCGUGAAGUCGGAGUCGCUA
rnacentral:rRNA from 1 species